rnacentral:rRNA from 1 species
CCUACGGGUGGCAGCAGUGGGGAAUAUUGCACAAUGGGGGAAACCCUGAUGCAGCGACGCCGCGUGAGUGAAGAAGUAUUUCGGUAUGUAAAGCUCUAUCAGCCGGGAAGAAAAUGACGGUACCUGAUUAAGAAGCCCCGGCUAACUACGGGCCAGCAGCCGCGGUAAUACGGAGGGGGCAAGCGUUAUCCGGAUUUACUGGGUGGAAAGGGAGCGUAGACGGCAGCACAAGGCUGGAGUGAAAUGCCGGGGGUUAACCCCGGAACUGCUUUGGAAACUGUGCAGCUAGAGUGCAGGAGAGGUAAGUGGAAUUCCUAGUGUAGCGGUGAAAUGCGUAGAUAUUAGGAGGAACACCAGUGGCGAAGGCGGCUUACUGGACUGUAACUGACGUUGAGGCUCGAAAGCGUGGGGAGCAAACAGGAUUAGAUACCCUGGUAGUC